CGGAUUGUAGGCUGCAACUCGCCUACAUGAAGUCGGAAUUGCUAGUAAUCGCGGAUCAGCAUGCCGCGGUGAAUACGUUCCCGGGCCUUGUACACACCGCCCGUCACACCAUGGGAGUCGGUAACACCCGAAGCCUGUAGUCUAACCGCAAGGGGGACGCAGUCGAAGGUGGGAUUGAUGACUGGGGUGAAGUCGUAACAAGGUAGC
rnacentral:rRNA from 1 species